rnacentral:rRNA from 1 species
GACGAACGCUGGCGGCGUGCUUAACACAUGCAAGUCGAACGGAAAGGCCCUGCUUUUGUGGGGUGCUCGAGUGGCGAACGGGUGAGUAACACGUGAGUAACCUGCCCUUGACUUUGGGAUAACUUCAGGAAACUGGGGCUAAUACCGGAUAGGAGCUCCUGCUGCAUGGUGGGGGUUGGAAAGUUUCGGCGGUUGGGGAUGGACUCGCGGCUUAUCAGCUUGUUGGUGGGGUAGUGGCUUACCAAGGCUUUGACGGGUAGCCGGCCUGAGAGGGUGACCGGCCACAUUGGGACUGGGAUACGGCCCAGACUCCUCCGGGAGGCAGCAGUGGGGAAUAUUGCACAAUGGGCGGAAGCCUGAUGCAGCAACGCCGCGUGCGGGAUGACAGCCUUCGGGUUGUAAACCGUUUUCGCCUGUGACGAAGCGUGAGUGACGGUAAUGGGUAAAGAAGCACCGGCUACCUACGUG